rnacentral:pre_miRNA from 1 species
CAACUACUCCCUCCGUCCCAAAUUUCUUGUCUUAGAUUUGUCUAGAUACAGAUGUAUCUAAUACUAAAAUGUGACUUGAUACAUUCGUAUCUAGACAAAUCUAAGACAAGAAUUUUGGGAUGGAGGGAGUACUUU